GCCGGGCGUGGCAGCGUGCGCCUGUAAUCCCAGCUACGCAGGAGGCUGAGGCAGAAGAAUUGCUAGAACCCGGGAGGUGGAGGUUGCAGUGAGUCGAGAUGGAGCCAUUGCACUACGGCCUGCCUGGGUGACAGAGCAAGACUCUGUCUCUU
rnacentral:SRP_RNA from 1 species